UACGUAGGGUGCGAGCGUUGUCCGGAAUUAUUGGGCGUAAAGAGCUCGUAGGCGGUCUGUCGCGUCGAAUGUGAAAACCCGGGGCUCAACUCCGGGCUUGCAUUCGAUACGGGCAGGCUAGAGUUCGGUAGGGGAGUCUGGAAUUCCUGGUGUAGCGGUGAAAUGCGCAGAUAUCAGGAGGAACACCGGUGGCGAAGGCGGGACUCUGGGCCGAUACUGACGCUGAGACGCGAAAGCGUGGGGAGCGAACAGG
rnacentral:rRNA from 1 species